UGCAGACGUCUUCAACUUGGAGGCUACAUUGCAAGGAAGAUGGUCAGUAUUUGUUAUUGAGUGGAACUUGCUCUCAGGAAAGUACAUACUGACUUGCAUUUGAGUUGUUUUCCAUGAAGAUUCUAUUCACUCUCCACCCAUCGGAAUGUAUUUUGUCAGGUAUGAUGUAUGUCAUUUGAUGAUUGUGUUAUAAUGAAUCUAGUCCUUUUUGUAUGAUUAUUCUUGAAAGUUUUUCCGGGAAUAUGGUUUCUAAUAUGCAAUGAAGAAUUGUUGAUAGAUCUUUUUCUACUUCAUAGCAACAUUAUAUUCACGUGAGGCAUGGGGAAUGUAUUUAUUGGCCGGUCAAUUUUUGGUGUUGUUGGAUUUUAAUUGCUGAGUGCAGUCAUGACUUCAAUAAAAUUGCUGAAAUAUUAGUCAUUUUUUAUUAUUUGCAAAUAUCAUUCUCUAAUAAGUUGGGCAUCAUUUCCACGAACAAUACUCAAACCGUGUUUCUCUAUUUCUCUUGUGUUUUGUAAAUUUUGUAUUGAAAUAUGUGACAUUCAUUAUCAAGACUAUUGGUUAUUGGACGGAGGGAGUAUAAGUUAAUUCCAAAAUUCAUAUCUGAAUAGGUAUAUUAUAUGCAUACAUAUUUUGACAAACUCACAAAAGUACAUGAUUUCUCCCGAAAAUUAUUAAAGUUUGCAACUUGAGCUCUGGGCCAAUAAUUGUACAAUUCUAGCCCUAGUCUUCACCACAUCCAAUUAUAGAAUCAUCCCCAAUCACUUUGACCAUGUUGUUUCAAUUGACUGUCUUCUAUUGCUUGAUUCACCCUUUUCCAUCUUGCUCUCGUUGCAACUUUCCGUGACAGGGACUAAACAUAUCAUGUGCAUACGACGUUGUCUCUCAGAAAAAUGCCUUUACCCCUGUACACUCGGCCGGGGGAGUAAAAAAUAUGGUCGUUGCCUUGCUUUUUCCCUUGUGCUAAGUCACCUUCUGCCACAUUGGAUGAUUUCUUCUUGGCGUUUGCUACCUCAUAUUCAGAAGUGCUCUUCUAUCUCUUCCUUCGACAUUUGGU